rnacentral:rRNA from 1 species
CCCUUAGAGUUUGAUCCUGGCUCAGGAUGAACGCUGGCGGCGCGCCUAACACAUGCAAAUCGAACGAAGCAUUUAAGACAGAUUACUUCGGUUUGAAGUCUUUUAUGACUGAGUGGCGGACGGGUGAGUAACGCGUGGGUAACCUGCCUUGUACUGGGGGACAACAGUUGGAAACGACUGCUAAUACCGCAUAAGCGCACAGCUUCGCAUGAAGCAGUGUGAAAAACUCCGGUGGUACAAGAUGGACCCGCGUCUGAUUAGCUGGUUGGUGAGGUAACGGCCCACCAAGGCAACGAUCAGUAGCCGGCCUGAGAGGGUGAACGGCCACAUUGGGACUGAGACACGGCCCAAACUCCUACGGGAGGCAGCAGUGGGGAAUAUUGCACAAUGGGGGAAACCCUGAUGCAGCAACGCCGCGUGAGUGAAGAAGUAUUUCGGUAUGUAAAGCUCUAUCAGCAGGAAAGAAAAUGACGGUACCUGACUAAGAAGCCCCGGCUACUCUGU